AUGUUUGUGAUUAGAUCUAUUUAAAUAUUUUUUUUAAAAUAAAUUCAAAUAUAAACCAAUAAAGCAGUGACAUCGGAUCCUUAGAGAAAGGAGGUGAGUGCGAAACAAGGCCAGCGACCACGACAAACAUUACAGGGGCAGGCGCAACCCACUACGAGCAAAGGCGAGCCACGGCGUCCCACAGCGAGCAACAACGACCCGGUGACCCAUGGCAAGCGACGACUAUUUUCGACGACAGCAACCACGACGGCUGAAUGAGAUAACGCUGGACAACGCCAAAAAUAGUGAUGCAAUGUGCGAUACAUAAAGGACAAAUGCUUUAUUCAAAUGUUCUAUACCAGUUCAGAAGAACGUUAAGAGAUGCGAAGACAUUCUAGGAAUGUUUUUUCAAUGCCUUCUAUCUGUCCAAUUCGUACAAGCAACACAAUUGCCUCUACAAAAGAAAAAUAACAUUUGACCUAAUACAAAAGGCUAUAAAACCUACAUCAAAGUCAAUGUUUCUGAGUAACAGAUCUUUCUUGAAGUUGCCUAUAUAAAGAAUACUGUAUGAAGAGAAGAAUAUGAAUUACACAUA